rnacentral:rRNA from 1 species
UACGAAGGGGGCAAGCGUUGUUCGGAUUUACUGGGCGUAAAGCGUACGUAGGCGGACGAUUAAGUCAGGGGUGAAAUCCCGGGGCUCAACCUCGGAACUGCCUUUGAUACUGGUCGUCUUGAGUCCGGGAGAGGUGAGUGGAACUCCUAGUGUAGAGGUGAAAUUCGUAGAUAUUAGGAAGAACACCAGUGGCGAAGGCGGCUCACUGGCCCGGAACUGACGCUGAGGUACGAAAGCGUGGGGAGCAAACAGG